UUAUAAAACCUCUUGUUGUUCAGGUUGGGAACUACCUCCGGAUGUUCAGAGGCUCCCUGUAUAAACGCUAUCCAUCCCUAUGGAGGAGGCUGGCUUCUGUGGAGGAGAGGAAAAAAAUCAUGGCCUCCUCACAUGCCACCAGCGUGACUCUGCUGAAGGCGUCAGAGUGUGAGGAAAUCUUUGAUGGAAACGAUGAGAAAUACAAAGCAGUUUCUAUCAACACAGAGCCCCCGGCGUACCUCAGGUAGC